UUUGAAAUUCUUUCUGAACUUCCAUUCUUGUUUUACAUUUUGGUCUACAUGUAAGUUUAAAAAUCUCAUUAUUAUGUGAAAUACAUACGAUAAAUUAUAGGAUAAUAAAUUAAACUAAUUUUAUUUUUUAUCUUCAUUAUUCAAGGAAUAAUAAUCAUCAGUGGACCAAAUGCAAUUAAAAAAUGCUAAAUUAUGUUCAUAUCAUUGUUACAUGAAUUAUGAAUCCCUAAGAAACCAUAAAAUAUAGUAGUAAUUACAUGACUUCUCUAAAUAUAAAAUUCAUGGCUA
rnacentral:lncRNA from 1 species